AAGUGACACAGUAAAUAAUAUCCUGAUGAUAGAUUACACACUGCUCAGGAAGGAAUCAUGGUUGAGAUAGCAUAGUAUCAGAUUAUAAAAUGACAUACAAAAGCUAGAAAAAUCAGAGUUAAGUAAACAACAGCACAUCUAAGACAAAGAACAGAGAAAAAAAAUACAACUUUGAUACUUUAUCAAGUAAUAUUUGGAACUUUGGAAUGAAGAGUGAGACACACACAGAAAGACACAUGUGAAUAUGCAACAGCAUCUCAGGUUGUGUUUUAUAUGUCAUUAAUAUAUAGAGCAGGGCACAAUAUAAUCAUAUGAAAAUCUUUCAUGAUGUUGAGUUACUCCCGACAACUCAUUGUUUAGUUUCAAUCAUUAGAUUCCUUCACGAUGACAUAUAAAAAUAAAAAA